UUGAUGUUUUUUUGCAGGACCUUACUGCUGCC
rnacentral:piRNA from 1 species